GCGGUCGCGUUAAGUGCACGCGCGUCUUCCCCGGUCGUCGGGGCAACGGUCACGCGGUCGUUCGGUAGCCGCUGGUCGUCGAUGACGGUUUUUUUUUUCCUCGCCAUAUUUAAAACGCGUUUAACGUUUUUCCCGUUCUUUCGCUCGGACCGCGAGCGCGCGCCAAACGUUUUCCGGUACAACACACCGCGUAACGGCACGGAUCCGACUGCGACCGUUUUCCCACUCGUCUCCGUCGCGUUCCGAUUUUCCCCGGCAUUCGCGUAGCGCGCGUUCAAGUCCCCGUCCGCGUGUGCGUCUGCAGCCGAUCAAAAGAUACGUCGUGGCACCCGACGUUUUCGCUUGGUCGUCGUCGUUAUAGUUUGCCAAAUACGACUCAACAAAGCACCAGACUUAUGGUAUGAUAAAUUUCCUAAACAGAGCAUCAACACGGCACAGCAGUCGAUGCAGCACAGGGCAAUUGAGUUCAGCCGCGACUACGAUAAUGCUUGUUUUGGUGUUAGGGAUUUAGUGGACCAACGGUGGUCGACACAUAUUAAAUAACACAGUCCUACUGGCCUGCUAAGUCCCAAAUACCAGCAAGCCCUUCGGCCACAAAGUCGGCGUAGUACACACACGGACGUGUGUUUUGAUAAUAAUAAUAUAUUGCUUUCAUUUUAUAUUAUUUACAUUGUUAAUCGUUUCGAAAUGGAUUACACAAGACAGCGUCACGAUGUCUAGAAAGUUUUUUUUUUCGGAAAUCCUCGGUGGCUCGAUGGUAAACAAACGUGGCUUGUAGUUUUUUGGCUCGGAAAAUAUUAUCAAAGCAGCCCACAAUAAUCUAUAUUUUUUUUUUCGUCAAAAAAUUGCAUUCAAAAUAUAAAGUGAGUGGUCCACAUAUGAAGACCGACCGGUAUAUCGGACAAUUUCCAGAUUUCUUAUUGUGGCAAUCCGCCUCUGGUGGACAAUCGGAAAGCGUAAUUAUCGCCACGACAAGUACGCGUGUAUAUCUUUGACGAUCGAUUCGAAACACGUAUGCCACACAGUAUGUUAUGGCCCGAUUCCCAUGUGCUUAGUCGAUUUAAUUAUAUUAGUCCAACAGACGUAUCAGUUAUAUCAACUCUUCGUUAUAUUAAGGUACUCGACCAAUGUCCGAAACAUUUUUUUCGUCUUAGAGCUUUGUACACCCUUUUAGUUUUAAAUCUGGGUCGAUCUAUCUCCCGAUACUGUGAUUCCACACUGUUAGACAUGUUCUCCAGUUCGAUUUGCUUACCGUUGCCUUUAAUCAUCCCCGCGCCAUAUUUCAAUCCACAACAAUACAUAUUACAUUGUAAUGAUGCUCCUCGUAAACUUAUGGUUUGUAUCACUUCAAAACGCACUGCUGUAACACCAUACAUAUAGCUCGGGAAAAUAAUUUGAUUGAUCGAUUGGUAUAUACACUGGGGGUACAUCGAUUGUGCAUCCGUCACAGGGUGGUUGGUCAACGAAUACGUCAACGUUCGUCAAUAAUGGCGGAUGUAUGAACCCUUUUUUUUCAAUCGAAAUUAACCCUCGAAUUACGAAUAUUUAUGUAUUAUACAUAUACGUACACGAAUCACCAUUGGCCAUUGAGAUGCAACCGUUUACUAGUGGCGCACUAUUAAAUACAAUUUUCAUGGGGAAGGGUGCAAAACAUCCCAUAAUGAAUAAAUAACAUGAAAUACAAUGCCAUUUUUUCAUGAAUAAAAACCAAUUCAAACGAAUUCACUAUUAUCAUUAGACCCUCCGAUUAUUAUGGUAAUAUAUAAAUUACAUAUGUAAAAGGGGGUUGCGAUCAAAUAAAAUCCAGUAAAACUAUAUACUUACUAAAAGUUAAUUAAUAAAGACAUUUCCCUUACCCUUAAUACAGGAAAAAAGAAUAAAAAAAGAUGUUUGGUGAU
rnacentral:lncRNA from 1 species